rnacentral:rRNA from 1 species
AGCGAACGCUGGCGGCAGGCCUAACACAUGCAAGUCGAGCGCCCCGCAAGGGGAGCGGCAGACGGGAGAGUAACACGUGGGAACGUACCCUUCAGUUCGGAACAACCCAGGGAAACUUGGGCUAAUACCGAAUACGUCCGUAAGGAGAAAGAUUUAUCGCUGAAGGAUCGGCCCGCGUCUGAUUAGCUAGUUGGUGAGGUAACGGCUCACCAAGGCGACGAUCAGUAGCUGGUCUGAGAGGAUGAUCAGCCUCACUGGGACUGAGACACGGCCCAGACUCCUACGGGAGGCAGCAGUGGGGAAUAUUGGACAAUGGGCGCAAGCCUGAUCCAGCCAUGCCGCGUGGAUGAUGAAGGCCCUAGGGUUGUAAAGUCCUUUCGGCGGGGAAGAUAAUGACGGUACCCGCAGAAGAAGCCCCGGCUAACUUCGUGCCAGCAGCCGCAGUAAGAC